GUCGGAGUGCCGGAGUGGUUAACGGGUAUGACUCGAACGAUUUAUCUAUUAGAUAUCAUAUGCUUUCGGGCGCGCAGGGUAAGCAUCAUUCAUCAACACUAAUCAUGACUCAACUAACAAACAACCAGUUCGAGUCCUGUCUCCGACG